AUACGGGGGGUGCAAGCGUUGUCCGGAAUCAUUGGGCGUAAAGGGUUCGUAGGUGGAAUUAUAAGUCUGGUGUGAAAGCCCACAGCUCAACUGUGGAACUGCACUGGAUACUGUUUUUCUUGAGUUAUAGAGGGGUUUGUGGAAUUUCUGGUGUAGAGGUGAAAUUUGUAGAGAUAAGAAAGAACACCGGUGGCGAAGGCGACAGACUGGCUAUUAACUGACACUGAGGAACGAAAGCGUGGGGAGCGAACAGGAUUAGAAACCCUAGUAGUCC
rnacentral:rRNA from 1 species